GACGAACGCUGGCGGCGUGCUUAACACAUGCAAGUCGAACGGAAAGGCCCUGCUUUUGUGGGGUGCUCGAGUGGCGAACGGGUGAGUAACACGUGAGUAACCUGCCCUUGACUUUGGGAUAACUUCAGGAAACUGGGGCUAAUACCGGAUAGGAGCUCCUGCUGCAUGGUGGGGGUUGGAAGGUUUGGGCGGUUGGGGAUGGACUCGCGGCUUAUCAGCUGGUUGGUGGGGUAGUGGCUUACCAAGGCUUUGACGGGUAGCCGGCCUGAGAGGGUGACCGGCCACAUUGGGACUGAGAUACGGCCCAGACUCCUACGGGAGGCAGCAGUGGGGAAUAUUGCACAAUGGGCGGAAGCCUGAUGCAGCAACGCCGCGUGCGGGAUGACGGCCUUCGGGUUGUAAACCGCUUUCGCCUGUGACGAAGCGUGAGUGACGGUAAUGGGUAAAGAAGCACCGGCUAACUACGUG
rnacentral:rRNA from 1 species